GUAAUAAAAAGCUUUAAAACACAGAAGAUUCCCCUCCAGGCUCAGCUUCACAGUUACAAAAACAGGAAUAAAACUACCUCUGUAGCACAAUAAAA